AAGACCAUACUUUCAGGGAUCAUUUCUAUAGUUUCAGACUAGUUGUUCUGUUAGACACAGUGUAACCACUCUGAUCAUAUUCUCUUCCUCAGUACUCUAUGGU
rnacentral:snoRNA from 1 species